UACGAAGGGGGGCGAGCGUUGUUCGAAUAUCUGGGCGUAAAGGGCGCGCAGGCGUCCUUCAAGUCAGAUGUGAAAGCCCCCGGGCUCAACCUGGGAACUGCAUUUGAGACUGGAGGACUUGAGGACGGGAGAGGAGAGUGGAAUUCCCAGUGUAGAGGUGAAAUUCGUAGAUAUUCGCAAGAACACCAGUGGCGAAGGCGGCUCACUGGCCCGAUACUGACGCUGAGGCACGGAAAGCGUGGGGAGCAAACAAGG
rnacentral:rRNA from 1 species